UAGGGAAUCUUCCACAAUGGACGCAAGUCCGAUGGAGCAACGCCGCGUGAGUGAAGAAGGUUUUCGGACCGUAAAGCUCUGUUGUUGGUGAAGAAGGAUAGAGGUAGUAACUGGCCUUUAUUUGACGGUAAUCAACCAGAAAGUCACGGCUAACUACGUGCCAGCAGCCGCGGUAAUACGUAGGUGGCAAGCGUUGUCCGGAUUUAUUGGGCGUAAAGCGAGCGCAGGCGGAAGAAUAAGUCUGAUGUGAAAGCCCUCGGCUUAACCGAGGAAUUGCAUCGGAAACUGUUUUUCUUGAGUGCAGAAGAGGAGAGUAGAACUCCAUGUGUAGCGGUGGAAUGCGUAGAUAUAUGGAAGAAUACCAGUGGCGAAGGCGGCUCUCUGGUCUGCAACUGACGCUGAGGCUCGAAAGCAUGGGUAGCGAACAGGAUUAGAUACCCUGGUAGUCCAUGCCGUAAACGAUGAGUGCUAAGUGUUGGGAGGCUUCCGCCUCUCAGUGCUGCAGCUAACGCAUUAAGCACUCCGCCUGGGGGAGUACGACCGCAAGGUUGAA
rnacentral:rRNA from 1 species